AUUGAACGCUAGCGGGAUGCCUUACACAUGCAAGUCGAACGGAGGGGCGAACGGGCGAGUAAUGAAUCGGAACGUGCCCAGUAGCGGGGGAUAAAUACGCGAAAGCGUAGCUAAUACCGCAUACUAUUGGAGCGGCAGGUCGGGGAUUAGCUAGUUGGUGGGGGAACGGCUGACCAAGGCGACGAUCCGUAGCUGGUUUGAGAGGACGACCAGCCACACUGGGACUGAGACACGGCCCAGACUCCUACGGGAGGCAGCAGUGGGGAAUUUUGGACAAUGGGGGAAACCCUGAUCCAGCCAUCCCGCGUGUGCGAUGAAGGCCUUCGGGUUGUAAAGCACUUUUGGCAGGAAAGCGGUACCUGCAGAAUAAGCACCGGCUAACUACGUGCCAGCCGCCGCGGUAAUAC
rnacentral:rRNA from 1 species